UUUCCGUAGGUGAACCUGCGGAAGGAUCAUUACAGAGUUCAUGCCCUCACGGGUAGAUCUCCCACCCUUGAAUAUUAUACUUUUGUUGCUUUGGCGGGCCGCCUAGGCCGCCGGCUUCGGCUGGUGAGUGCCCGCCAGAGGACCCUAAACUCUGAAUUAUAGUGUUGUCUGAGUACUAUAUAAUAGUUAAAACUUUCAACAACGGAUCUCUUGGUUCUG
rnacentral:misc_RNA from 1 species